AACCGUGUACGUACAAGCAGUGGGAGCACGCUUAGGCGUGUGACUGCGUACCUUUUGUAUAAUGGGUCAGCGACUUAUAUUCUGUAGCAAGGUUAACCGAAUAGGGGAGCCGAAGGGAAACCGAGUCUUAACUGGGCGUUAAGUUGCAGGGUAUAGACCCGAAACCCGGUGAUCUAGCCAUGGGCAGGUUGAAGGUUGGGUAACACUAACUGGAGGACCGAACCGACUAAUGUUGAAAAAUUAGCGGAUGACUUGUGGCUGGGGGUGAAAGGCCAAUCAAACCGGGAGAUAGCUGGUUCUCCCCGAAAGCUAUUUAGGUAGCGCCUCGUGAAUUCAUCUCCGGGGGUAGAGCACUGUUUCGGCAAGGGGGUCAUCCCGACUUACCAACCCGAUGCAAACUGCGAAUACCGGAGAAUGUUAUCACGGGAGACACACGGCGGGUGCUAACGUCCGUCGUGAAGAGGGAAACAACCCAGACCGCCAGCUAAGGUCCCAAAGUCAUGGUUAAGUGGGAAACGAUGUGGGAAGGCCCAGACAGCCAGGAUGUUGGCUUAGAAGCAGCCAUCAUUUAAAGAAAGCGUAAUAGCUCACUGGUCGAGUCGGCCUGCGCGGAAGAUGUAACGGGGCUAAACCAUGCACCGAAGCUGCGGCAGCGACGCUUAUGCGUUGUUGGGUAGGGGAGCGUUCUGUAAGCCUGCGAAGGUGUGCUGUGAGGCAUGCUGGAGGUAUCAGAAGUGCGAAUGCUGACAUAAGUAACGAUAAAGCGGGUGAAAAGCCCGCUCGCCGGAAGACCAAGGGUUCCUGUCCAACGUUAAUCGGGGCAGGGUGAGUCGACCCCUAAGGCGAGGCCGAAAGGCGUAGUCGAUGGGAAACAGGUUAAUAUUCCUGUACUUGGUGUUACUGCGAAGGGGGGACGGAGAAGGCUAUGUUGGCCGGGCGACGGUUGUCCCGGUUUAAGCGUGUAGGCUGGUUUUCCAGGCAAAUCCGGAAAAUCAAGGCUGAGGCGUGAUGACGAGGCACUACGGUGCUGAAGCAACAAAUGCCCUGCUUCCAGG
rnacentral:rRNA from 1 species